rnacentral:rRNA from 1 species
GCGUGAGUGAAGAAGGCCUUAGGGUUGUAAAGCUCUUUCAGCAGGGAAGAUGAUGACGGUACCUGCAGAAGAAGCCCCGGCUAACUCCGUGCCAGCAGCCGCGGUAAUACGGAGGGGGCUAGCGUUGCUCGGAAUUACUGGGCGUAAAGAGCAUGUAGGCGGAUUGUAUAGUCAGGCGUGAAAGCCCCAGGCUCAACCUGGGAACUGCGUUUGAUACUUACAGUCUUGAGUCCGAGAGAGGGUGGUGGAAUUCCUAGUGUAGAGGUGAAAUUCGU